rnacentral:rRNA from 1 species
AGCAGUAGCCGCGGGAAUACGAAGGGUGCAAGCGUUACUCGGAAUUACUGGGCGUAAAGCGUGCGCAGGUGGUGGUUUAAGUCCGUUGUGAAAGCCCUGGGCUCAACCUGGGAACUGCAUUUGUGACUGGCAAGCUAGAGUGUGGCAGAGGGGGGUGGAAUUCCGCGUGUAGCAGUGAAAUGCGUAGAUAUGCGGAGGAACACCGAUGGCGAAGGCAGCUCCCUGGGCCAACACUGACGCUCAUGCACGAAAGCGUGGGGAGCAAACAGGAUUAGAUACCCGAGUAGUCCCUGUCUCUUAUAC